rnacentral:rRNA from 1 species
GACGUAGGGUGCAAGCGUUGUCCGGAAUUAUUGGGCGUAAAGAGCUCGUAGGCGGUCUGUCGCGUCGGCUGUGAAAACCCGGAGCUCAACUCCGGGCCUGCAGUCGAUACGGGCAGGCUAGAGUUCGGCAGGGGAGACUGGAAUUCCUGGUGUAGCGGUGAAAUGCGCAGAUAUCAGGAGGAACACCGGUGGCGAAGGCGGGGUCUCUGGGCCGAUACUGACACUGAGGAGCGAAAGCGUGGGGAGCGAACAGG